GAGCCCACGCGGUGUAAACCGAAGCUGUAUUUGUACAUAACAAGACCCUCAUUAAACAGAAAAGUGAUCGUGACCCUUCAACAAAAGAAAUAUCCUUUUCACCAAAGAUAGGCUAUCUUUCAAGCAGGAUUUAUUUUUUAGUUCAGCAAUUUUAAACACAAUGAAUCGCCGUCGCUAAAAUGUAAACGUACUCGUUGUGCAAUAAAAAAUAUGCCAAGAUUCAUUGUUGGGGCGCACCUUGUGCCCCGCUGCUUAAAUGAACCGAUUGAUCGAUCAAUUGCUCUAAGUUGCCUGUUAUCAAUGUAGAGUUGUGUGUUCUAUGAUUCAUUACUGUGAGUUACAGCGCACUGUAAAAGCCAAAUGAUAUAUUUCUCUAUCCGCAGUCUGCAUUUGUGGUCCAAUACUCUCGCACGAAGUCUUAAUCUCCAAUGUAAUCUGCGCCGCUCGACAAAGGCAACGAUUUCGCACACUGUCGCUCAUCGUACGUUUUCUCAUAAAUUUAACAAAUCGUAUGGCAAGCCACCUCCGCUCCCUUUCUCUCAACAAACGAACCUCCUUCUGAAGAAGGGUCUCGACCCGAAACGUCACCUAUUCCUCUUGUCCGGAGAUGCUGCCUGACCCGCUGAGUUACUCCAGCUUUUUGUGUCUAUCUUCGGUUUAAACCAGAUUCUGCUGUUCCUCCCUACAAGCUAACCUCCUUAUUGUUUCAGCUAUCAGUGCCGCGCGGAUAGUAACUGCAGGACACAUGUGUCUUUGCGUGGGGAACUUGGGUACCGCUUUGCCACUUUGAACGUGUGAUGCUCUGAAUCGGAACCACCUCCAUUUAACAGGUCUGAAGGUUGCCGAGAUGUAAUCAUGACUCCACUGCAAACGGCUCAUUCUAUUCAUUUAUGGAAGGUGGAAAUCAUAGGCAAGAUCAACAUUUAUGGUCAUUUCCUGAUAAGCGGCAGAGAGGAGUAUUAUCAUCCUGACGAGAGGGCCUGUACAUCCGGCUGCCCACAACGGCGACUGCGGAGGUUUAUGGCACUGACCACGGGGGAAUAAUGGAGGAGGACUGACUAUUUUGUGCCUUUCACCACAGUGAAGAAUGCUGUGGUGGAUGUUUGUGCUAAAUUUUAAUGUGUAUUGUGUGUUCAUUUUUGAUCGUACCGCUGCUGGCAAGUUCAUUUCACUGCACGUUAUUGUGUAUGUGAGGAAUAAAAACUGAUUGAUUGAUUUAUUUGGAAUUGUUCCUUUCAUCUGCCUUUGGGCUUUUUGCCAAUGAAGAAGAUGACAUCCUUCAAGCAUCAUAAGUAAGUUUGAGCUGAUGAACUUGAGCAUCUGUUUUCAAACCAUUGGAUUCACGUUUUGUUUACGCAAUCUGCUCAUCCUUAAUUUCAUGGAUCUUCAUUCGUGCAUGUUUUGACUUGGUGGUUUAGGUCCAUUAAUAAAGAUUAAUAACAUUAUUUUGCUGGUCUGUUGAAUAGUUUUAGAGA